AGGCGGAGCUACAACAAGGUAAUCUGGAAAUGGAGGGAAAGUAGAUAGACAGGAAGAGAGAGGAAAAGGAGAGUUUGUCUGUGUGUGUGUUCGUGUUGGAACAUCAUUGUUUUUGCCAACGCAAACCCAUCAGCUCCAUGUUGAACAUUAGAUUCAUGCAAGUUGAGUUUGUAUGCGAAAGCCCUUAUGCAUAUUGUGUGUUUGUGGAAGACUUUGUUAAAGACUUCGGAACCCUAUGGGCACAGCUCAUCUCCUCUACUGCAUUAAUCGUUUUGAGGUCAGUUGAAUCCGAUUGGGACGCGGGAUGAGGCAGCGUUGUCUUUUCAACAGCCGUAGCAGGCUGGCGAUGCGCAGAUCUCACAAGAGUUCGACCUGGUGGCCAGACUCACUGAGGAAAAAACAAAACAAGAUUACACCCGGUUUCCUGGGACGAGGAGGGAAUCCGCUAAGCCAAUUUCUGGUCUGAGAUGCUAGCAAUAUGGAUCAACCUGCUAUAUGUUAGCUAACUGACUCAACCUGCUUUUUCUUAGCUAACUGGCUCAACCUGCUAUAUGUUAGCUAACUGGCUCAUCCUGCUCUUUGUUAGCUAACUGGCUCAACCUGCUAUAUGUCUCCGCUGCAUGCUGCUAGAAUUGAGGAAGAUUAGAUUCCAGACAAAACAACGACAGUGAGAAAUUGUACGAUUGUAAAGUUAAAAUAAACAUGUGUAUAUUUCCAGUAGAUGAAUAAAUUAAAUUGUAACAUGGCUCAUUAUACUGUAUAUGAAUGUAUGAUGAGCAAUACAAAUAAAACGGUGUAGCCCUACAACUGAAGCAAACCAACCAGGCUCAUGUUAAAUCUGAAGCGAGAAACUAAAUCAGACCCGAGCAAUUGGGGCUCGUUUGUGAGGUUCUGGGGAAAAUCGAUCAACUGUUAAGGGCUCCCGUCCCACGUUCCCGCAACACAAUGACCACGCAGACGCUUCGACGCAGUCGUGAACGUUUACGGUUUCGCGUCAGGUUUUAGUAAGCGGAACAAUCACAGCCACUGCUGAUGUGUCGCCUCGACGGAAGGUUACGAUUUUUGGGAGGCACCCGUCUGGCCCUUGCGGUGGACGCAAGGAGGGUCCACAAGGACGUAAGGGGUCCUUAACCCCCUUGCGUUGCGUGAACGUAGAACCAUAAAGAGCCCUUUACACUGUAGGAAAAAAUCCUAUCAUGUAUAUCUGUGUUACAUUUGUGUUUAAUGGAAUGCAGGAAGUACCCAGGCAUAAGGAUAGGGUGGUUUUUGGUUGCUUCAUUCGGGAUUUCAGCAUCACCAAACAUGUUCCUGUACACAACGGGCUUGUUG